rnacentral:rRNA from 2 species
GAUGAACGCUAGCGGGAGGCCUAACACAUGCAAGCCGAGCGGUAUUGUUUCUUCGGAAAUGAGAGAGCGGCGUACGGGUGCGUAACACGUGUGCAACCUGCCUUUAUCUGGGGGAUAGCCUUUCGAAAGGAAGAUUAAUACUCCAUAAUAUAUUGAACGGCAUCGUUUAAUAUUGAAAGCUCCGGCGGAUAGAGAUGGGCACGCGCAAGAUUAGCUAGUUGGUGAGGUAACGGCUCACCAAGGCGAUGAUCUUUAGGGGGCCUGAGAGGGUGAUCCCCCACACUGGUACUGAGACACGGACCAGACUCCUACGGGAGGCAGCAGUGAGGAAUAUUGGUCAAUGGGUGCAAGCCUGAACCAGCCAUCCCGCGUGAAGGACGACUGCCCUAUGGGUUGUAAACUUCUUUUGUAUAGGGAUAAACCUACCCUCGAGAGGGUAGCUGAAGGUACUAUACGAAUAAGCACCGGCUAACUCCGUG